rnacentral:rRNA from 1 species
UGCAGUCGAACGGAUCCUUCGGGAUUAGUGGCGGACGGGUGAGUAACACGUGGGAACGUGCCUUUUGGUUCGGAACAACUCAGGGAAACUUGAGCUAAUACCGAAUGUGCCCUUCGGGGGAAAGAUUUAUCGCCAUUAGAGCGGCCCGCGUCUGAUUAGCUUGUUGGUGAGGUAAAGGCUCACCAAGGCUACGAUCAGUAGCUGGUCUGAGAGGAUGAUCAGCCACAUUGGGACUGAGACACGGCCCAAACUCCUACGGGAGGCAGCAGUGGGGAAUCUUGCGCAAUGGGCGAAAGCCUGACGCAGCCAUGCCGCGUGAAUGAUGAAGGUCUUAGGAUUGUAAAAUUCUUUCACCGGGGACGAUAAUGACGGUACCCGGAGAAGAAGCCCCGGCUAACUUCGUGCCAGCAGCCGCGGUAAUACGAAGGGGGCUAGCGUUGCUCGGAAUUACUGGGCGUAAAGGGAGCGUAGGCGGAUAGUUUAGUCAGAGGUGAAAGCCCAGGGCUCAACCUUGGAAUUGCCUUUGAUACUGGCUAUCUUGAGUAUGGGAGAGGUUAGCGGAACUCCGAGUGUAGAGGUGAAAUUCGUAGAUAUUCGGAAGAACACCAGUGGCGAAGGCGGCUAACUGGCCCAUUACUGACGCUGAGGCUCGAAAGCGUGGGGAGCAAACAGGAUUAGAUACCCU